UUAUGCGAUACUGGUGUGAAUUGCAGAAUUCAGUGAAUCAUCGAAUCUUUGAACGCACCUUGCGCUCCUUGGUAUUCCGAGGAGCAUGCCUGUUUGAGUGUCAUGAAAUUCUCAACCUACAAAUCUUUGCGGGUUUGUAGGCUUGGACUUGGAGGUUUUUGUUGGCUUCUCGCAAGUCGGCUCCUCUUAAAUGCAUUAGCCUGUUUCCUUGCGGAUCGGCUCUCGGUGUGAUAAUUAUCUGCGCCGCGACCGUGAAGCGUUUGGCUGGCUUCUAAUCUGUCUCGCUCAAGAGACAGCUUCUUAUGACCUCUGACCUCAAAUCAGGUAGGACUACCCGCUGAACUUAAGCAUAUCAAUAAGCGGAGGAA
rnacentral:rRNA from 1 species